rnacentral:lncRNA from 1 species
AGAGGACAACCUGUGACCCUGAAGCUUGCCUGGGCUGACAGGUUCUCGGCACACAGCACCACCUGGGACAGCUGCCUGGCCGCCUCCCUGGGGCAGCUCCAGGAAACCUGGGGCCUGGACGCCCUCCAGGCCUGCAGAGCUGUAACACAGACCCCAGACAUGUUCACUGAACAGCUUGACCUGUCCUGGGGCCAGCAGCGCAUGCAGCAGAACUUGACAUAUGAGAGGCAUCGGCCAUCUCAGCCAGACAAGAUCAUCAUGGAGGCCACGCUGGAGCACAUCCUCAGGGCCUCUUGCGCCCAGCAGAGCUUCCGGGGAGAAGUACAGACUGACUACGCACACUGGCUGCGGCACUCCUUCCACCUGGGGGCUCUGUGACCUGCCCAGGGCCCUCUUGGUCUCCAGAGAGCACAUCCUGGGCCGGGGUGGGCUCCUGCUGCAUUCCCACUGCCAGCUGGGCCUUGCCCCAGCCCCAGACCACGGCCUGCACCUCAGCUUGACCCUCCGAA